AAUAUUGGUCAAUGGAGGCAACUCUGAACCAGCCACGUCGCGUGAAGGAUGACGGCCCUACGGGUUGUAAACUUCUUUUAUACAGGAAUAAAGUGAGUCACGUGUGACUUUUUGCAUGUACUGUAAGAAUAAGGAUCGGCUAACUCCGUGCCAGCAGCCGCGGUAAUACGGAGGAUCCAAGCGUUAUCCGGAUUUAUUGGGUUUAAAGGGUGCGUAGGCGGCCCGUUAAGUCAGGGGUGAAAGACGGCAGCUCAACUGUCGCAGUGCCUUUGAUACUGACGGGCUUGAAUGCGGAUGAGGUAGGCGGAAUGAGACAAGUAGCGGUGAAAUGCAUAGAUAUGUCUCAGAACUCCGAUUGCGAAGGCAGCUUACUAAGCCGUGAUUGACGCUGAUGCACGAAAGCGUGGGGAUCAAAC
rnacentral:rRNA from 1 species